CAGAAUAGGGUCUCGUCAGAUUUACAAAUCGGGCCCUAACUUGCAAAAGUGUUACAUCUCUGUACAGGGCCUAUUCGGGCUUGCCUGAAUGGCGCCUAGACAAAAAUGGGGAAAAACUAUCUAGGGCCUUUAUAAGCCCUCUUUUAAAUUUUCCGGGUAUCGUUUCACGACGAAUUAUUUGCAUCAAUUGCACCAAGUACAAGUUUGUUAGUGCAUAUCGCUACGUUUUUGUGAAAACUAUUUCUUGGUCUUUUGCACAAUCUUUGUGGAAAAACCGUGUAUACAGAUAUUAAAAAGUUUUACUCUUAUAUAAUAUAACAUUAUUCUAUUGAAUAAAUAUUAUCAGUUGACAUACAUUUGCACCACGUUUGGUAACGUUAAUAAAGGUAAAAUGCUACUCAAUCCGUUGAACGUAGUAAUGCUGCUGUAUACAAUAUUUCGUACUUUAAAUUUGCCUCAAACUCCCAUUAUCGAUGCCGAAAGGAAUGUAAAAUUAAAAAUAGAAACCAUAUUACAAACAAUCUAUAAAGAUACAUUUGAAAUAGAAGAAGAAGAAUCACUCGAUUUCCAAAAUUCAUUCGAUAUACCGGAAGCAGAAAUUGUAAAAAAUGAAGAAGAAGAAGAUAUAUAUUACGUUAAAGAAAUGAAAUGUGUCAACGAUCAAAUUCCAAUAGAAUAUAAAAAAAGUGCAGUGGAUUUUUGGAUCAAUGGGGAUAAGAAAAGACCUCUCGAGAGCGUUAAACAUAGAUUCUGUAAAGUGCUACGCAUACAGCAACUGCAACGAUGGCAACUACAAGUGCAGAGAGGUGGGACAUUUAUGGAAAAAAUGCUGAAAAUUUCUUUGUAUACAUUACAGAAAUUCCAAGACGGUCUGAAAAGAGGAUCAUUAAUUCAUGAUAUCAAUAUUACUCGAUGGACCCUUAAAGCCUAAAAAGAAGUUAAUUGUUCAAGAUUUAUAGCUUCAGAGGAAUGAGUAAGACGUUUUAAAAGAAGACAUCAUAUUGUAUUGGGAAAAGUUACUAAAUUUGUUACCAAAAAAUCAAAAGAAGAAGUGGAAACAAAAAGCAAUAGGUUUAUUAGAAAUGUUAAAUAUCAUAUUGAACGUUUUGGACUUGAAAAUAUUUACAAUUCGGACCAAAGCGAAUUCCAACUAGAACAUCAUGCUGGUCGUUCUUUAGAAAUAUAAGGUUCAAAAAGAGUAGAGUGCAUUGUAUAAUCAAUAUAAAUGAGUUACAAAAUCGGUCAUGUUUAUUAGUAGAGUUCAGUCAUAGAUGUAAUGAAAUAUGAAUAACAAGUCAUACAAAA